rnacentral:rRNA from 1 species
AUAUCAGUCAUGCAUAGCAUAUCAAUAAGCGGAGGAAAAGAAACUAACAAGGAUUCCCUUAGUAACGGCGAGUGAAGCGGGAAGAGCUCAAAUUUGAAAUCUUCAAGGUUCUACCUUGACGAAUUGUAGUUUAUAGAAGUGUUUUCUGUUAGUAGAGUGGCAAAAGUUCUUUGGAAUAGGACAUCAUAGAGGGUGAGAAUCCCGUAUUUGGUCAUUCCUUCUAGCGUUGUGAUACACUUUCAACGAGUCGGAUUGUUUGGGAAUGCAGUCCAAAAUGGGUGGUAAAUCUCAGUCUAAAGCUAAAUAUUGGCGAGAGACCGAUAGCGAACAAGUACCGUGAGGGAAAGAUGAAAAGAACUUUGAAAAGAGAGUUAAACAGUACGUGAAAUUGUCAAAAGGGAAGCGUUUGACACCAGUGUUGUUUUUCCGAAAAUCAAUUACGAAUGUUUUAUUUUUGAGGAGUUAUGACUUCAUCGGCUUGCUCCUUUCUUUAUGAAACUUUCUUAAUGCACUUUUCGGUUAACAAGUCAACAUCAAUUUCUUUUGUUGUAAAAGGGUAUGAGGAAGGUGGCUUUCUUUUCGGAGAAAGUGUUUAUAGCCUUGUGCCUCUGCAAUCGGAGAGAUUGAGGUCUGCAGCGUAGAUCCUUCGGGGUUAGAUACGUUUGUGCUAAGUUAUAGCUUUUCAUAGGCAACUUGUUGACUAUGUUUAGUCUUGUAGCUUACUCGCUGACGCUAUUUUACCUACGCUUAGGAUGUUGAUCUCUCACAGUCGAGC